rnacentral:siRNA from 1 species
UGAAGGAAGAAGUGAUGAGGA